rnacentral:rRNA from 1 species
ACAUGCAAGUCGAACGAUGAACCUGGAGCUUGCUCUAGGGAAUUAGUGGCGAACGGGUGAGUAACACGUGAGUAACCUGCCCUUGACUCUGGGAUAACCUCCGGAAACGGAAGCUAAUACCGGAUAUGACGCACGGAGGCAUCUCCUGUGCGUGGAAAGAACUUCGGUCAAGGAUGGACUCGCGGCCUAUCAGGUAGUUGGUGAGGUAACGGCUCACCAAGCCUACGACGGGUAGCCGGCCUGAGAGGGUGACCGGCCACACUGGGACUGAGACACGGCCCAGACUCCUACGGGAGGCAGCAGUGGGGAAUAUUGCACAAUGGGCGCAAGCCUGAUGCAGCAACGCCGCGUGAGGGACGACGGCCUUCGGGUUGUAAACCUCUUUUAGUAGGGAAGAAGCGAAAGUGACGGUACCUGCAGAAAAAGCACCGGCUAACUACGUGCCAGCAGCCGCGGUAAUACGUAGGGUGCGAGCGUUGUCCGGAAUUAUUGGGCGUAAAGAGCUCGUAGGCGGUCUGUCGCGUCUGCUGUGAAAACCCGAGGCUCAACCUCGGGCCUGCAGUGGGUACGGGCAGACUAGAGUGCGGUAGGGGAGAAUGGAAUUCCUGGUGUAGCGGUGGAAUGCGCAGAUAUCAGGAGGAACACCGAUGGCGAAGGCAGUUCUCUGGGCCGUAACUGACGCUGAGGAGCGAAAGCGUGGGGAGCGAACAGGAUUAGAUACCCUGGUAGUCCACGCCGUAAACGUUGGGCGCUAGAUG